rnacentral:rRNA from 1 species
GACGAACGCUGGCGGCGUGCUUAACACAUGCAAGUCGAACGGAAAGACCCUGCUUUUGUGGGGUGCUCGAGUGGCGAACGGGUGAGUAACACGUGAGUAACCUGCCCUUGACUUUGGGAUAACUUCAGGAAACUGGGGCUAAUACCGGAUAGGAGCUCCUGCUGCAUGGUGGGGGUUGGAAAGUUUCGGCGGUUGGGGAUGGACUCGCGGCUUAUCAGCUUGUUGGUGGGGUAGUGGCUUACCAAGGCUUUGACGGGUAGCCGGCCUGAGAGGGUGACCGGCCACAUGGGGACUGAGAUACGGCCCAGAGUCCUACGGGAGGCAGCAGUGGGGAAUAUUGCACAAUGGGCGGAAGCCUGAUGCAGCAACGCCGCGUGCGGGAUGACGGCCUUCGGGUUGUAAACCGCUUUCGCCUGUGACGAAGCGUGAGUGACGGUAAUGGGUAAAGAAGCACCGGCUAACUACGUG